rnacentral:rRNA from 1 species
UACGGGGGGGCAAGCGUUGUUCGGAAUUACUGGGCGUAAAGGGCUCGUAGGCGGCCAACUAAGUCAGACGUGAAAUCCCUCGGCUUAACCGGGGAACUGCGUCUGAUACUGGAUGGCUUGAGUUUGGGAGAGGGAUGGCGGAAUUCCAGGUGUAGCGGUGAAAUGCGUAGAUAUGUGGAGGAACACCGAUGGCGGAAGGACAGCCCCCUGGGUCAAAACUGACGCUCAUGCACGAAAGCGUGGGGAGCAAACAGG